GCUGAAAUGGCGGAAUGGCAGACGCCGGGGACUUAAAAUCCCCUGGAGCGAUCCGUGCGGGUUCGAGUCCCGCUUUCAGCACCA
rnacentral:tRNA from 1 species